AUACGGAGGGUGCAAGCGUUAUUCGGAAUCACUGGGCGUAAAGGACGCGUAGGCGGGUUGGCAAGUCAGAUGUGAAAUCCUACAGCUUAACUGUAGAACUGCAUUUGAAACUGCUAACCUAGAGUAUGGGAGGGGGAGAUGGAAUUAGUGGUGUAGGGGUAAAAUCCGUAGAUAUCACUAGGAAUACCGAAAGCGAAGGCGAUCUCCUGGAACAUAACUGACGCUAAGGCGUGAAGGCGUGGGGAGCAAACAGGAUUAGAAACCCUAGUAGUCC
rnacentral:rRNA from 1 species